GACGAACGCUGGCGGCGUGCUUAACACAUGCAAGUCGAACGGAAAGGCCCUGCUUUUGUGGGGUGCUCGAGUGGCGAACGGGUGAGUAACACGUGAGUAACCUGCCCUUGACUUUGGGAUAACUUCAGGAAACUGGGGCUAAUACCGGAUAGGAGCUCCUGCUGCAUGGUGGGGGUUGGAAAGUUUCGGCGGUUGGGGAUGGAAUCGCGGCUUAUCAGCUUGUUGGUGGGGUAGUGGCUUACCAAGGCUUUGACGGGUAGCCGGCCUGAGAGGGUGACCGGCGACAUUGGGACUGAGAUACGGCCCAGACUCCUACGGGAGGCAGCAGUGGGGAAUAUUGCACAAUGGGCGGAAGCCUGAUGCAGCAACGCCGCGUGCGGGAUGACGGCCUUCGGGUUGUAAACCGCUUUCGCCUGUGACGAAGCGUGAGUGACGGUAAUGGGUAAAGAAGCACCGGCUAACUACGUG
rnacentral:rRNA from 1 species